rnacentral:misc_RNA from 1 species
GUAGGAGCCGGCUUGCUGGCGAUGGUCGUUACCGAUGACGCGUAUGGUCUGGUUAAACGCCGCAUCCAAUCGCCAGCAAGCCGGCUCCUAC